UACGUAGGGGGCAAGCGUUGUCCGGAUUCAUUGGGCGUAAAGCGCGGGCAGGCGGCCCGGUAAGUCGGCCGUGAAAGCGCCGGGCUCAACUCGGCGAGGACGGGCGCAACUGCCGGGCUCGAGGUUGGCAGAGGGCGGUGGAAUUCCGGGUGUAGUGGUGGAAUGCGUAGAGCUCCGGAGGAACACCAGUGGCGAAGGCGGCCGCCUGGGCCAACCCUGACGCUGAGCCGCGAAAGCGUGGGGAG
rnacentral:rRNA from 1 species